GUAGGUGGCAAGCGUUGUCCGGAAUUAUUGGGCGUAAAGCGCGCGCAGGCGGUUCUUUAAGUCUGAUGUGAAAGCCCACGGCUCAACCGUGGAGGGUCAUUGGAAACUGGAGAACUUGAGUACAGAAGAGGAAAGCGGAAUUCCACGUGUAGCGGUGAAAUGCGUAGAGAUGUGGAGGAACACCAGUGGCGAAGGCGGCCUUCUGGUCUGUAACUGACGCUGAGGCGCGAAAGCGUGGGGAGCAAACAGGAUUAGAUACCCUGGUAGUCCACGCCGUAAACGAUGAGUGCUAAGUGUUAGGGGGGUUUCCGCCCCCCUUAGUGCUGCAGCUAACGCAUUAAGCACUCCGCCUGGGAGUACGGCCGCAAGGCUG
rnacentral:rRNA from 1 species